GUGGCGGACGGGUGAGUAAUGUCUGGGAAACUGCCUGAUGGAGGGGGAUAACUACUGGAAACGGUGGCUAAUACCGCAUAACGUCGCAAGACCAAAGAGGGGGACCUUCGGGCCUCUUGCCAUCAGAUGUGCCCAGAUGGGAUUAGCUUGUUGGUGAGGUAACGGCUCACCAAGGCGACGAUCCCUAGCUGGUCUGAGAGGAUGACCAGCCACACUGGAACUGAGACACGGUCCAGACUCCUACGGGAGGCAGCAGUGGGGAAUAUUGCACAAUGGGCGCAAGCCUGAUGCAGCCAUGCCGCGUGUAUGAAGAAGGCCUUCGGGUUGUAAAGUACUUUCAGCGGGGAGGAAGGUGUUGUGGUUAAUAACCGCAGCAAUUGACGUUACCCGCAGAAGAAGCACCGGCUAACUCCGUGCCAGCAGCCGCGGUAAUACGGAGGGUGCAAGCGUUAAUCGGAAUUACUGGGCGUAAAGCGCACGCAGGCGGUCUGUCAAGUCGGAUGUGAAAUCCCCGGGCUCAACCU
rnacentral:rRNA from 1 species